ACGAACGCUGGCGGCGUGCUUAACCCAUGCAAGUCGAACGGAAAGGCCCUGCUUUUGUGGGGUGCUCGAGCGGCGAACGGGUGAGUAACACGUGAGUAACCUGCCCUUGACUUUGGGAUAACUUCAGGAAACUGGGGCUAAUACCGGAUAGGAGCUCCUGCUGCAUGGUGGGGGUUGGAAAGUUUCGGCGGUUGGGGAUGGACUCGCGGCUUAUCAGCUUGUUGGUGGGGUAGUGGCUUACCAAGGCUUUGACGGGUAGCCGGCCUGAGAGGGUGACCGGCCACAUUGGGACUGAGAUACGGCCCAGACUCCUACGGGAGGCAGCAGUGGGGAAUAUUGCACAAUGGGCGGAAGCCUGAUGCAGCAACGCCGCGUGCGGGAUGACGGCCUUCGGGUUGUAAACCGCUUUCGCCUGUGACGAAGCGUGAGUGACGGUAAUGGGUAAAGAAGCACCGGCUAACUACGUG
rnacentral:rRNA from 1 species